rnacentral:rRNA from 1 species
CCUACGGGAGACAGCAGUGAGGAAUAUUGGUCAAUGGGCGCGAGCCUGAACCAGCCAAGUCGCGUGAGGGAAGACGGCCCUACGGAUUGUAAACUUCUUUUGUCGGGGAGUAAAAGGCGCCACGUGUGCCGUUUUGUGUGUACUUGAUGAAUAAGCAUCGGCUAACUCCGUGCCAGCAGCCGCGGUAAUACGGAGGGUGCGAGCGUUACCCGGAUUUAUUGGGUGUAAAGGGUGCGUAGAUGGGUGGUUAAGACAGUUGUGAAAGUUUGCGGCUUAACCUUAGAAUUGCAUUUGUGACUGGUUGGCUAGAGUACAUCAGAGGGAGGUGGAAUUCGAGGUGUAGCGGUGAAAUGCGUAGAUAUGACGAAGAACUCCGAUGGCGAAGGCAGCCUCCUAAAACGCCACUGACACUGAUGCACGAAAGUGUGGGUAGCAAACAGGAUUAGAUACCCGUGUAGUC